rnacentral:ncRNA from 1 species
GAAAGCGGUGUGCUUGGAAACUUGCCCGCACCGUUUGGACGGGGGCUAUUGGUAAUAUUUGAUAGAAAAACAAAUCCUAUCAGAGAAACGCAAAUAAUCUAUCCGUAU